AUUGAACGCUGGCGGCAUGCCUUACACAUGCAAGUCGAACGGUAGAGGGGGCAACCCCUCGAGAGUGGCGAACGGGUGAGUAAUGCAUCGGAACGUGACCGGUAGUGGGGGAUAGCCCGGCGAAAGCCGGAUUAAUACCGCAUGAGACCUACGGGUGAAAGGGGGGGAUCACAAGACCUCUCGCUAUUGGAGCGGCCGAUGUCAGAUUAGGUAGUUGGUGGGGUAAAGGCCUACCAAGCCGACGAUCUGUAGCUGGUCUGAGAGGACGACCAGCCACACUGGGACUGAGACACGGCCCAGACUCCUACGGGAGGCAGCAGUGGGGAAUUUUGGGCAAUGGGCGAAAGCCUGAUCCAGCCAUGCCGCGUGCGGGAAGAAGGCCUUCGGGUUGUAAACCGCUUUUGUCAGGGAAGAAAUCCUUUGAGCUAAUACCUCGGGGGGAUGACGGUACCUGAAGAAUAAGCACCGGCUAACUACGUGCCAGCAGCAGCCGCAG
rnacentral:rRNA from 1 species